UCCAGGUUGUCUCAUUAGAUCAAUGGAUCAGCCGCGAUUGGUGUUCUGUUUGCGAUCCCUCAAUCGCGGCUCUAGUCCAGCUAAGAGACAGCCUCUUCAUCCAGGGUUUUUGGUGUUCUGACUUUUUAGUCUCCCAUAGUGGAAAGAGAGAGGGGGAG